CAUAAAAUUAUUUGUUAAACGUGAAGAGGGUCAUUCGUUAAAAAUAUAAUUCCAUUUGAAUGGCCUGACCUGUUUUAACGUGUACUGCUGGAGAAACCUCUAGAGGGAGCCUCUGAACCUUCGAGCCUCAAAGUCUAAUUCUGGUUAAACACUACUCUCAUUGUUAUAAGAAGCUCUGGAGAGAAUAUAACGUUUAUUUCAUAUCUGAAACUCCGUUAUAGCUCCGUGCUCUGUUAUCUGCAUUCAGCUGAUCAAUUAUUGCAGACCGUCAAUUAGCCAACCGAUAUAGAUGUGAAGCACUUAAAUGAAGUGGAUGUAACUCUGGAUGUGGACACAGCUCAUCCUAACCUACUGAUAGAUGGGAAAACAGUAAGCUGGAUAAAGGAAACACCACAGAGACUGUGUAGUGAGAAUAUGUUUGAUGAGGAUCCCUAUGUGCUGGGCAUUAUGGGCCGUGCUUGGAGGGCCUACUGGAAGGUGAAUGUGGAGAAGAAGGAGGACUGGGUACUUGGUGUUACCAAGGCAACAUCUAACAGGAAGGGACAAUUGGUUCUUAGCCCUGCCAAAGGCUUCUGGGUAAUCAGGCUGUCCAAUGGGGGAAGACUGAAAGCCAUGGAUGAUAAGGAGCAUGUUCUUGACAAAGAUAUUCCAGAUAAAGUUGGGAUUUAUCUAGAUUAUAAGGAAAAUAAGGUGACUUUCUACAAUGCAGAAGACAGCUCACUCAUCUACUCAUUUAUCAAUGGACCAGGUUAUCAGGAUGAUGUCCGCCCACUUUUCUCACCCUGGAACAAUGAUACAGAUCCAAUCACAAUUUUGUCCAUUGUUUAGAAUACACAUAAUAUACCAUACACGGUCAGAUGCCUGAUUAAAGCUUACAUUGAUGUUUUAACUGUUAUUUCAUCACUUGAUCAAAGCAGUUUGAUCUCUAUCAUUGGAUCUCUUGAUCCCUAAGAAUAUACUGUACUGUAAACUGUAUAUGUUUGCCACUUUUCAUGUUGAGUUGUUAUACACAAACAUUCCACAUGAUGUGGAUGAUGUGGAAACUAAGCUACAGUAUGGAGAGGUUUUAUUUUGUUGAACGACUUCAAUUUUAUAUUUACAAUGAAAGGGAACCAAUGCGGGGUCACCCGUUGUCACGAACCGGCUCAAAGCCCGUAACAAAAGGGAGACAACGUGGAGAUAAGGAGUAACAAAAUAUAUAUUUAUUAACUAAAGCAACUAAGGAAAAUAUCCAAUGGUGUGUGUAAUCAGUAAUCAGUAGUGUAAGUGACUGUUUUGCAUGCAUGAAUGUGAUAAUGCAGGGUGUUGAAAGGUUCCAAAGCAAACAAACAAAAGGCCACCAAGAACCACAACACAAUCUACAAAAGGUGUCUGCAUGGAGAGAGUCUCCUCCAUGAAUGGGGAAGUGGUCUAUUUAUCCUGGGAGACACCUGGCCCAGGUGUUUCCCAUGUAGCUGACGACCCUCCCAACUCCGCCCACCGGCAUCCUAAUAAGGAAACAAGAACAAAUAGAGAAUACGGCAGACAGAGUGGGAGGGUCGUCACACCCGUGGCACCCACUUUGAUGCGAUUGGCAAUCCCAUAGUGGUCCCCUUUGAAUGUUAAACGAAAAAUGUGAGUUUUGUCCACUGUGCCUCAAAACAGUCUUGAUUAAUACAAAUAUGGAAAACAUUUUUAUCUUGUCUAUAUCUGUCAAUAUGUAUUGUGAUGCAGUCCCUGUGACUUUUGAGAAAUUGGAAUAUCAUUCACUUCAGCUGUAAUUCAUAACAUCUCCAAAUGAGUGGUCACUAAAUGCAGUCAUCAAGUAAAACAGGUGGAGUCAAUCAAGUUGUAGAAACAUCUCAAGGAUGAUCAAUGGAAAAAAGAUGCACCUGAACUCAAAUUCGAGUCUCAUACAAAAGGGUCUGAAUUACUUGUGUAAAUAAGGUGUUUCUGUUUUUGAGUUUUUCUACAUUGCAAAUAUGUCUAAAAACUUGUUUCCGUUUAAUCAAUAAUGGAUAUUGUGUGUAGAUUACUGGGGAUUUAUACUUUUAUAAGUCCGUUUUAGAAUAAGGCUGUAACGUAACAAAAUGAGGAAAAAGUCAAGGGGUCUGAAUACUUUCUGAAGACACUGUAUUACAUUUUUUACCCAUCUUUGCCAUGACCUGUGUACUAUGUCAAAAUGAUGUAUGUAGGCUAUUCAAAUGUAUGAUGUACACAGUCAGGUCCAAAAUUAUUGUCACCCUUGAUUAAGAUGAGAAAGAAAGACUGUAUCAAAUAAAUCAUACAAAUAAUGA